rnacentral:rRNA from 1 species
AGUAUAAAGACUGAGGUAGUAUUAGUUAUGUUCUUAAAACUUAAAAAAUUUGGCGGUAUUUUAGUCUAUUCAGAGGAACCUGUUAUUAAUCGAUGAUCCACGGUGGACCUUACUUAAAUUUGUUUUCAAUUUAUAUACCGUCGUUAUUAGAAUAUUUUAUAAGAAAGAUAAUAUUUAUAAUUUUUUAUAAAAAAAUAUAUCAGAUCAAGGUGUAGUUUAUAUUUAAGUGUCGAUGGGUUACAAUAAAAUUAUUUAUAUGGAUAUGAAUGUGAAAUAUUUAUUGAAGGUGGAUUUGGAAGUAAAAUUAUAAAGAUAAAUAAUUUGAUUAUAGCUCUAAAAUGUGCACAUAUCGCCCGUCAUUCUUAUUAUUAAGGUAAGACAAGUCGUAACACCGUAGAUGUACCGGAAGGUGUCUCUAGAAUACAAU